rnacentral:tRNA from 1 species
UCCUCAGUAGCUCAAUGGUAGAGCAUUCGGCUGUUAACCGAAGGGUUCCAGGUUCGAGUCCUGGCUGAGGAGCCA